AGAGUUUGAUCAUGGCUCAGGACGAACGCUGGCGGCGCGCCUAACACAUGCAAGUCGAGCGAGAAGCGGGACUUCGGUCCCGUGGAGAGCGGCGAACGGGUGCGUAACACGUGAGCAACCUGCCCCGAAGACCGGGACAACCGAUGGAAACGUCGGCUAAUACCGGAUGCCCUCACCGGAUCGCAUGGUCUGGUGAGGAAAUGGAUUCCGCUUCGGGAUGGGCUCGCGGUCUAUCAGCUUGUUGGUGGGGUAAUGGCCCACCAAGGCGACGACGGAUAGCUGGUCUGAGAGGACGAUCAGCCACACUGGGACUGAGACACGGCCCAGACUCCUACGGGAGGCAGCAGUGGGGAAUCUUGCGCAAUGGGGGAAACCCUGACGCAGCGACGCCGCGUGCGGGAUGAAGGCCUUCGGGUUGUAAACCGCUUUCAGCAGGGACGAAAUUGACGGUACCUGCAGAAGAAGGCCCGGCCAACUACGUGCCAGCAGCCGCGGUAAUACGUAGGGGCCUAGCGUUGUCCGGAUUUAUUGGGCGUAAAGAGCUCGUAGGCGGUUCGGCAAGUCGGAUGUGAAAUCUCCACGCUUAACGUGGAGGGGCCAUUCGAAACUGCCGUGACUCGAGUCCGGUAGGGGAGUGUGGAAUUCCCGGUGUAGCGGUGAAAUGCGCAGAUAUCGGGAGGAACACCAGUAGCGAAGGCGGCACUCUGGGCCGGUACUGACGCUGAGGAGCGAAAGCGUGGGGAGCGAACAGGAUUAGAUACCCUGGUAGUCCACGCCGUAAACGUUGGGCACUAGGUGUGGGACUCUAUCGACGGGUUCCGUGCCGUAGCUAACGCAUUAAGUGCCCCGCCUGGGGAGUACGGCCGCAAGGCUAAACUCAAGGAAUUGACGG
rnacentral:rRNA from 1 species